GGGCCCGCACAAGCGGAGGAACAUGUGGUUUAAUUCGAUGAUACGCGAGGAACCUUACCCGGGCUUGAAAGUUAGUGAAUGACUUGGAAACAGGUCAGUCCUUCGGGACACGAAACUAGGUGCUGCAUGGUUGUCGUCAGCUCGUGCCGUGAGGUGUCGGCUUAAGUGCCAUAACGAGCGCAACCCUUGUUGUUAGUUGCCAUCAGGUAAUGCUGGGAACUCUAACAAGACUGCUACUGUAAGGUAGAGGAAGGUGGGGAUGACGUCAAAUCAGCACGGCCCUUACGUCCGGGGCGACACACGUGUUACAAUGGUCGGUACAGAGGGUUGCUACCUGGCGACAGGAUGCUAAUCUCAUAAAACCGAUCUCAGUUCGGAUCGGAGUCUGCAACUCGACUCCGUGAAGCUGGAUUCGCUAGUAAUCGCGCAUCAGCCAUGGCGCGGUGAAUACGUUCCCGGGCCUU
rnacentral:rRNA from 1 species